rnacentral:rRNA from 1 species
UAACAAGGUUGCUGUAGGUGAACCUUCAGCAGGAUCAUU